AGAAUCCAGAUUUGCCGUUGUUUGUUGAUGGUUCGGCUUACAGGAAUCCCACCACUGGUGUGAAUCGUGUGGGAUUUGCUGUUUGCUCUUCGCAUGAGACCCUGUUUUCUGGUUCUCUUCCAAAACACUUUUCAGCGCAAGCGGCUGAACUGGUGGCGCUGACUGAGGCCUGCAAGUUGGCAAAAGGAAAGACAGUAAACAUCUUUACGGAUUCCCGGUACGGAUUUGGUGUGGUUCAUGACUUUGGUGCCCUAUGGAAACAUAGGAAGUUUUUGAAAUCAGAUGGAAAUCCAGUUCUGAACUCUAAGCAGGUUGCACACUUGUUGGAGGCCAUCUUGUUGCCCAAGGUCAUUUCUGUGUGCCGGUGUGCAGCUCACUCCUCGUCUUGUGAUGCUAUCUCGCAGGGAAACAGAAGGGCCGAUGCAGCUGGGAAAUGUGCGGCUGGGAAAGCUCCUCUGUUUACUGCCUUCUCCUCUUCUGAGGGCGAGGGGGAUGAUACUCCUCCAUGUUCUUCUUCACUCAUGGACUGGAAUGCGAUGCAGAGCUUUGCGUCUGCUGGUGAGAGGCGACUGUGGGCUUCUUCUGGAGCAAAGUGCAUAAAUAACAUUUGGUAUGGACCGAAUGAUUCACCAUGCUUGCCAAAACACUUUUUCCCACACUUUGCAAAGCUAACUCAUGGCUUAGAUGAUUCCUCAUACGCCAGUAUGACUGCUGCUUUAACAUCUCAGUGGUUCACUAAAGGCUUCAGCUCUUAUGCAAAAAGGUUUUGUCAAUCAUGCAUGAUCUGCUGUUCAUUCAAUGCAGGGCGUGCCCCUCAGAGGACUCUAGGUGCGCACCCUCCUCCUGGUAAGCCAUUUGACCACAUAAUGAUGGACUUCAUUGAACUGACUCCUUCUGAAGGUAAGAAGUUUGUCCUUGUCAUCGUGGAUAUGUUCAGUAAAUGGACUGAGGCUUUCGCUUCUAAAAAGGCUGACAGCCAUGCUGUCACAAAAGCCCUUUUGACUGAGAUUAUUCCUCGUUGGGGGAUUCCGGCUAGGAUUUCAAGUGACAAUGGAUCCCACUUAGUCAACGAGGCCGUGACUGAGGUGGGUAAGUUCCUGGGCUGUGACUUAAAGACACACUGCGCGUAUCAUCCUCAGAACUCCGGUGCGGUUAAACGUGACAAUGGAACUCUGAAGUUGAAGCUGGCAAAAUGCUUCACAGCACACAAUAAGCAGUUACAAAAUGCUUCACAGCACACAAUAAGCAGUUACAAAAUGCUUCACAGCACACAAUAAGCUUUGCCUCAAUUAUAUGAGGAUGAGGAAAAGGGCAAAGGUUAACCUCAGUCCAUUUAAAAUUCUCUUUGGUAGGCCUCCAAACUUGGACUUUGGACCUGCAAACCAUCACUUGCCUUCCACUUCUUUGUGUGAUGAUGACAUGUUAUCAUAUUGUGUUAAGCUCUCAAAGGUGCUUUCUGAAAUUUCUCAGACAGUAAAGGGAGGGUUGCCUGUGGCGGCCGACAGAGCCCUCCAUUCAUUCCAUCCAGGAGACUGGGUUCUGAUUCGGGACUUCCGCAGGAAGCAUUGGAGAUCCAAAAGCUGGCUGGGACCAUUCCAGGUGCUCCUCACGACUUACACGGCAGUGAAAGUUGAACAGCGGGUUCCUUGGAUCCACGCAUCACACUGCAGAAGGUGCCGUCACCGGGGACCGACCAAUCGCAGGACAAGAAGGAUCAAACGCUGGGAUCGUCAUCAUCAACCUGAGCCACCGAGCUGGCUGUGAGGAUAGCGGCCCACCACAAGUUUUGUUUCUAACAAAGAAGAGGUCGGUGAAGAACACUGUUCUGACGGAAUCACAAUAACAUUCCGGACAGUGAUUUGAGUUGAUUGUCUCCAGAGAGAGAUAAAACGGAGGUUUUGACAUAGCUGAUCUGUGGAGCACAGCAGUUUCAAGAAUCAGAUUUUGUUUGAUCAUUGUUUUUACUCCCUACAUAUCAGAGAACUGACUGAUUAAAAAAAAUGCCUUUUUUUUCUUCCUCAUCAUUCUGCACAGUGCAACAACAUGACCUACUUCAGGACUGCUGAAAAGCUGGCAAUAUGUUGCCUUAUGGUUGCAUUUUUCCUUUUAUUAAUUACAUGGUUUUGGGAUCAAAAUGAUUCCGAUGUUAUUAAGGAUGUUUCUACUGUUACUCUGUUAAAUUCAGCUGAUCCAACUAUCACUCAGGCUUUUAAGUCUCCUCAUUUGCAAAGAGGGGUAAAACGACAUGUUAUUGAUCAUCAUGGCGCAACUGACAAUCUUUGGUGGCAAUUUGCAGCUACUACUGCUCGAAAGGUUACAAACAGUAGUUGUUAUGUUUGCACCCACUUGCUGCAUGCAACUCAGGGGUCAUCUUUACUCCAACCAUGGAAAGUUAACAUCACCACUGUGUUAUCAUUUUUUUCCGCCUGUACAGCAGCGCCCUGUAACAGGUCCCAUAUCCUCGAGGCUUCUAAACCCCUGAAAUAUUUUCCCUGUGCAAUUAAUUUUUCUCAUCAUUCUGUGCGCUUUCCUUAUGGCUUCUCAAAUGCUACGAAUGUUAGUGUUGCAGGUUCUGUUAUGACCCAUUCAGUGUCAUCACAUAUGCGGUCAGCACCCCUGUGUUUUGUUCUUCCCUGCGCCGGAUCCAGCUUUAAUUUGGGGAACGCAGUUAACUGUGACAAUACUGUGCCAGCUUCUUGUGCACUUACGGAUAAUAGACCUUCAUGUGCAGACGACCCAUUGAAACUAUGGCUAAGAGUGUUUAAUUUGACCAAAUGGGGUUUAAGGGGUGGUGCUUUUUCUUCCCUCCAGGUGUAUACUCCAUCUCCUGAUGGUUAUCCAUGUCCUACUAAUAUGGUAUGGGUUUGUGGUCAUCGUUCCUACCUAUAUCUCCCACGUGAUUGGUGUGGUUCCUGUUAUUUGGCUUAUCUCAUUCCUUCUGUUAGGAUUGUGGCGUCCAUACCAGUGAGUGCCCAGAAUCGCAAGAAGAGGGGAACCAGGAUAUCAAUGGGACGCGAGAUAGCCUCGGGAAUAUUUCCCAGUAACACAGGGAUGUCAGUUAUCUGUCCAGAAUUCCCAUAACACUGCCCCAGGUCACCGAGGGGACCAACACAACAAGCACCUUACCACUGACGACUGACGACAUAACGUCAACUGUUUGAAAGAUUCAAGGACAACUUGCACCUCGGUUGGACGGGAAGGUGUGUCUCAUCAGAGCUGAUCACCACUCUUCUUAAUGAGUUGGAACCAGGAGGAGGGCGUCAGUUCGUUUACGCUUCUGCGUGAACCUCAUACCCACCAGUGAAAGACCUGGUAACCUCGCCUCGGACCCAUGCCUGAAGAAACGCUUAGAAACAAUCUUAUACCGAAGAAGAACCACGGAAAAUCCUGUUAGCCCUCCGACCUGCGCUCACCUGCCUGUCCACCCUCCAACAACCAACACUGAAAAGGAAACUGGAUUUGCACCAACAGCCCGGACUAUUGCACAGCACCUCUUCCCCGAACCAAGCCCAAGUCACAACCUCCAGAUCCCCGACCAGCAGACACUCUUUUCAAUAAAGCUUUUAUAUUUUAUCACUGUCUCCAGUUUUU